rnacentral:lncRNA from 1 species
AAAGGUUUGGGCAAAAGUUAGGGAUAAAGAAUAAAAAUAAUAUGUACACCCGGUAAGUCGAAAACCUGCAAAGGCGGCUUAGGCAAAAAUGGGUGUCCCGGUGGAUUGAAAACCUGAAAAGGCGGUCCAGGCAAAAGAGGGAUUAAAGCGAAGACUACAGUCUGAAUUAUCUGUACUUCAUCGCGUUUCAGUGUCUACCAUCUUGAAG